rnacentral:rRNA from 1 species
UACGGAGGGUGCAAGCGUUAAUCGGAAUUACUGGGCGUAAAGCGCAUGCAGGUGGUUUGUUAAGUCAGAUGUGAAAGCCCUGGGCUCAACCUAGGAGUUGCAUUUGAAACUAACAAGCUAGAGUACUGUAGAGGGGGGUAGAAUUUCAGAUGUAGCGGUGAAAUGCGUAGAGAUCUGAAGGAAUACCGGUGGCGAAGGCGGCCCCCUGGACAGAUACUGACACUCAGAUGCGAAAGCGUGGGGAGCAAACAGG